rnacentral:lncRNA from 1 species
GCUCAAUACUCUCUCUGUCACGGUUUAGAGGGCACGCUUGAAAAACACUGGGAUCAAGGUAGUCACCGAUUGGUUGUGAGAUGUAGCAGGUGUAGAUGCUAAUGCGCCUAAUCAACUGGGAAAAUACUAGUACUAAUGCUUGAGCAGCAAAUUGGGAUGAAACAUGCAUGAGUAGUACGAGUACUAAUUAAUAAAAAUAAUUGCUUUCGCACCUUAAACAUUGUUUAUUUUAAAAACG